AGAGUUGCUGGUCCCUGUCUGCAUCUAUGCAGACACACCACACCUAGGAAUCAGCCGAACGCCGAGCCAAAUGCCCAGUGGAAAGAGCCGCCUGAAGGUGUUGUAAAACUGAACACUGACGCUGCCUUUUUGUCAGGCACGGGCCAAGCCUAGGCUGGCGCGAUCGCACGGGAUCAUACGGGGCAUGUUGUCUUCUCGGCGAGUAAAUCGAUGAAUAAAUGCAGAUCAGUUGAAGAGGCAGAGGGGCAAGCUAUCCUGAUGGGUCUGGUAUCGCUGUCGAGACCGUACCAAGGCCCACUGAUCAUUGAGACUGACAUCAAAAUGAUUGCAAAUGAAUUGGGACAAGCCAGAUCAAGCCGAUCGGAUUGUUUUCUGGGUUGUCAGUGAGAUAAAAAACACAAGCCGGAUCUUCAGUUCAGGCCAAGGCUAUGAAAAGGGAACAAAACUGUCUAGCACAUGAGCUUGGCUGCCAGAGCUAGACGGCAUCAGGACUCACUGAUAAUUGCGGACGUGCCCGAGGAGCUUCGUUCGCUGAUGCUAUCUGAAUGUACCAAGUGAUGUGUUUGGUCCUUUUUUAGGCUAUCUUGAACGAUUGCAGGUUUUAAUCAAGAAGUCCUCAAUAGGUGGACUGGCUCAAAAUGGAGAAGCACGCUGGUAGCUUUUUGGUUGAUUGUAUUAAGCAUUUAAGUUCGUAGCAAUUCAUACCAUCAAUAUCUUUGGGGGUGCCUUGUACUCCUUCCGUAAAAUAAUACAAGAGCGUAGUGAUCUAAACGCUCUUAUAUUAUAGUUUACAGAGGGAGUAAUAUUUUAGAAAAUUAUGCCUUUUUUGGCCUAAUGUGGCGUGCUGUCCAUAGACAUCCUUACCCCAUUUCCUCCUCACAUAUGGCUUGGGUUUUGGGAUAGCAAGACAUACGAAGACAAUUUGGGGGUGCCGAUUCUCUCUCUCCCUCUUGCUAAUAGAAUUAUGAACAACCGGUAAGACUAAUAUUAUAGACCAUGUAUUCUUUGACUUUUGUGCUGACACAGGAAAAAUGUGUUGUAAACUUGUGAGUUGUGCCUUA